CAAGGAUUGGUAUAGUAGCAGAAACUGAAGUUCUCUCUUUGAUUCCAUUUUCUCCUGCCAAAUUUGUCUUGAUUUCAUCCAUAAGGAAAUGAACAUAGGUAAUAAAGUAUACAUCAAAAACAUUGAACAUAUUGAUGAUGAUUCCCAUAUCAAAAUGUGGGUGGUAAAGAUGUGGAACUUUAUUCAGAAUAAUAUGGUUUUAGCAAUCGAAAUGAUUGUAAUUUAUGAGGAGGUUUAUUGUACUAUUUUUUUUAAUAUCCCAUUCAACAUUACAUAUGUUUCAAGCAAUAAAUUAAUUGUUAUUUAUUUCAUUUAACAUGGUAUAAAAUAUCAUUCUCGUGUUUUAAAUCAAAUAUUUUCUAGAUUUGGUGAUCUUUUAAUGGAAGGUCAAACUUAUAUCAUUAAGAACCCAACAUGGCCGCUGUGGACAAUGGUUUUGGUGCUACGUGUCACAAACAAACCAUAACUUUGAAUUGGAGAAGUAUUCUAAAAAAUGUGAGGAUUUUUCAGGUCCGGUGAAUUGUUUUGUAUUUGUUGAUUUUAAUUCUAUUAUCGAACAAACAUGCGCAAGAGACUUAUUCUUUGAUGUUAUUAAGACAAGUUGUCUCAUUUCGGGCACUUGAAACAUUAAAUCCUAACACAUCCAAGUAUUACAUAAAGAUGGUUUCUAGCAACUUACAGCAAUGAUCUUUCUAUUAGUUGGUUCCAUCGUCAAUAUAAGACAGAAUCUACGUUAGUAUUACGAUGCGUGCUCCAAAUGUGGAAAAAAGAUAGACACAUUGCCCAAACUCAAUCAUUUCAUAUACCACCCCAACAAAAUUUCAAAAACUAUUGUUACUCAAUGUAAAGAUGCACGUUGCAACAAUUUGGAUUUUCGUCCGAUUACAAAGUAUAUGAUUCCAAUCAACGUACAAGAUGAUACUGGCACCAUCCGAUUGAUUCUUUUUGACAGGGAAGCGAAGAAGCUAUUGGAUAUAAGUGCAUACCAAUUGAGAAAAAUACAUGAAGAUGUAUACUAUGUUAUUCAUAUUUUUAAAUGAAAAACCAUUUUAUUUGUUUUAAUAUAUUAAACAUCCCUCUUACAGACUGGAGACAGUUUGGAACUAUUUCCAAAGCAAAUUAACGUCUUGAAAAACCCCAACUUUGUUUUUCUUGUGGAUAUUACAUCCUACAAUGUGGACAACUAUAAUAAUAUCUACACCAUUGUCAAAGUUAUAGAAUAUGUGUCCAUUGUUUUUCAAUUGGAAAGUAAAAUAGAACUUACGGUACAUACAUAUAAUGUUCAAAACUUAUAUUUGUUUUUUUAUUUACCUACAUAACAUCUUACAUAUUUCCAUCUUAUUUUCUAGAGUAUUAAAUUUGUGUCCUUAGAUCAAGUAUCUUUGGAAUCGGAUGAUGUUUUGCAGAAUGUUCAAAAGGUAUUUCGAUUCCCAUAUUAAAUUUUAUUUAUAUUUAAUUAUUCCAAUUAACAAUUACGUUUUUUUUUAAUUUAGCAUGUUAUCUCAUAAACGGAUAAGAGUUUUACACCCUCAACAGUUAAUAAAUCAACCGCAACCAGUCCUAUGAAGAUAUCAGCUGAUUUAAAACGCAACCUCCAUGACAUUUAUGAUGUCGAUUGUGUAGAUGAAUUCAAUUCAACAAAAUCUAAAAGAAAAUCAAUCAGAGAGGAUAAUCCACUCUUAGUUCGAACAAUGGAGAAGUGACUUGGGCUUGGUUUUAACAAACAAAAAGUAUUUUUGGAAAUUGGGUUGGUUUUAAAGACUGUUGGG